rnacentral:rRNA from 1 species
GACAGAGGGUGCAAACGUUGCUCGGAAUCAUUGGGCGUAAAGCGCGUGUAGGCGGCUUGUUACGUCGGGUGUGAAAGCCCAGGGCUCAACCCUGGCAGUGCACCCGAAACGGGGAAGCUGGAGUACUGGAGAGGCGAGUGGAAUUCCUGGUGUAGAGGUGAAAUUCGUAGAUAUCAGGAGGAACACCGGUGGCGAAGGCAGCUUGCUGGGCUACUCCUGACACUGAGGUACGAAAGCGUGGGGAGCGAACAGG